AUAAAUGAAAAAAAAAAUUGACGGACGAAACACGACUUAAAUGUCAGUUGUUGAUGCGCUGUCCACGGUCCAAUUAUGUAUUUACGAAGUCACGUCUCCUACUAUCACAAUCGAAACUAUAAUAACGAAUUGCAAGAUCUGUACACCGGCGGAGAGCGGACUAGGACCGGUAAAGAAAAACCGAGGGCGGGCAAAAAAAUAGAAAUCAUGCUCGACGAUAUUUAUAUUAAGUAGUAGUAGUAGUACUAGGUAGCCUUACUGGAUACGGAAUUUCUGCUAUAAUCGAAUCACUCAACGGAUGGAACAGUCCUCGGCGGGAAACUUACUGUGAGAGUAC